AGCGAACGCUGGCGGCAGGCCUAACACAUGCAAGUCGAACGAAGUCUUCGGACUUAGUGGCGGACGGGUGAGUAACACGUGGGAACGUGCCUUUAGGUUCGGAAUAACUCAGGGAAACUUGUGCUAAUACCGAAUGUGCCCUUCGGGGGAAAGAUUUAUCGCCUUUAGAGCGGCCCGCGUCUGAUUAGCUAGUUGGUGAGGUAAAGGCUCACCAAGGCGACGAUCAGUAGCUGGUCUGAGAGGAUGAUCAGCCACAUUGGGACUGAGACACGGCCCAAACUCCUACGGGAGGCAGCAGUGGGGAAUCUUGCGCAAUGGGCGAAAGCCUGACGCAGCCAUGCCGCGUGAAUGAUGAAGGUCUUAGGAUUGUAAAAUCCUUUCACCGGUGAAGAUAAUGACUGUAGCCGGAGAAGAAGCCCCGGCUAACUUCGUGCCAGCCGCCGCGGUAAGAC
rnacentral:rRNA from 1 species